GGACUACCCGGGUUUCUAAUCCCGUUCGCUCCCCAUGCUAUCGUGUCUGAGCGUCAGGGGGGUGCCAGGGCACCGCCUUCGCCUCUGGGGUUCCUCCGGAUCUCUACGCAUUUCACCACUACACCCGGAAUUCCAUGCCCCUCUCACCCCCUCCAGUCUCCCAGUCUGGCAUAACCCCACCCAGUUAAGCUGGGUGAUUUCAUACACCACUUAGAAAACCGCCUGCACACGCUUUACACCCAGUAAAUCCGGAUAACGCUCGCCACCUACGUUUUACCGCGGCUGCUGGCAC
rnacentral:rRNA from 1 species